rnacentral:rRNA from 1 species
UACAGAGGUCUCAAGCGUUGUUCGGAUUCAUUGGGCGUAAAGGGUGCGUAGGCGGCGCGGUAAGUCGGGUGUGAAAUCUCGGGGCUUAACUCCGAAACUGCAUUCGAUACUGCCGUGCUUGAGGACUGGAGAGGAGACUGGAAUUUACGGUGUAGCGGUGAAAUGCGUAGAUAUCAAGAGGAACACCUGCGGCGAAGGCGGGUUGCUGGGCCGACACUGACGCUGAUGCGCGAAAGCUAGGGGAGCGAACGGG